ACAUGCAAGUCGAGGGGCAGCAUGGUCUUAGCUUGCUAAGGCUGAUGGCGACCGGCGCACGGGUGAGUAACACGUAUCCAACCUGCCGUCUACUCUUGGCCAGCCUUCUGAAAGGAAGAUUAAUCCAGGAUGGCAUCAUGAGUUCACAUGUCCGCAUGAUUAAAGGUAUUUUCCGGUAGACGAUGGGGAUGCGUUCCAUUAGAUAGUAGGCGGGGUAACGGCCCACCUAGUCAACGAUGGAUAGGGGUUCUGAGAGGAAGGUCCCCCACAUUGGAACUGAGACACGGUCCAAACUCCUACGGGAGGCAGCAGUGAGGAAUAUUGGUCAAUGGGCGAUGGCCUGAACCAGCCAAGUAGCGUGAAGGAUGACUGCCCUAUGGGUUGUAAACUUCUUUUAUAAAGGAAUAAAGUCGGGUAUGCAUACCCGUUUGCAUGUACUUUAUGAAUAAGGAUCGGCUAACUCCGUGCCAGCAGCCGCGGUAAUACGGAGGAUCCGAGCGUUAUCCGGAUUUAUUGGGUUUAAAGGGAGCGUAGAUGGAUGUUUAAGUCAGUUGUGAAAGUUUGCGGCUCAACCGUAAAAUUGCAGUUGAUACUGGAUGUCUUGAGUGCAGUUGAGGCAGGCGGAAUUCGUGGUGUAGCGGUGAAAUGCUUAGAUAUCACGAAGAACUCCGAUUGCGAAGGCAGCC
rnacentral:rRNA from 1 species